GGGGCAAAAAAAAAAGCUUGAAAACAUUUCUUGGCUAAAACCAGUUACAGUUGUCUGGAUUAAUACAGCAUAGAAUCUUGUUCUUGCCAUGUUCUAAUUGGUUACCAUAUAUCAGGUUCUGUCUUGAAGGAAACAACUAUUUAGCUAGAGUUAAAACCAUAUCUUAAGCUCUUGCUGCAUGUCAAAUGGGAGAAACAUGCCUUAGGGCGUUAGCUUCAACCAACAAUAUGGGUGAAUAUGAACUGGUCGGAUUUACGCUUUUGCAUAAGCAACUCUUCCAUUUUUUUCUAUAUUUAUAAGAAUAUGAUCUUCCAUUUAUUUCUUCUGUUUAUUUGGAUCUCAUAAUCGUUCUCUUUGAUGGUAGUUGAUGAGACAUGCUCACAAAAAGACUUGAAAAAGACUUUUUGGACAAUUAUCCCUAAUAGGGAAAAUCGUCCAAAAUGUAAGAAGAUGGACAGUAGAAUGUGCUUCAAUUUGUUUACCGACAUGGUCCGUAUCUAUAUACACACACGUGGUUCAUCAAUUAAUAACUUAAUUUUCAUCAUUAAGAACACAGAAAAGUAGGACCCCAUUUUAAAAUGUUUUGCCCAAGCUCUCGGGGUGGAUGAAACGUCAACAGAUGUGUACCUCUUUGUUGUUGUUACUUCUUGUUGGGGUGUGGUGGACAAAGUUUAAGCCUAUUAAGCUGCCUUAGAUUUCAUUGGGAGCAGAAGUUAUUGAAUUGAAAGCGCCAUCUAAUUAAUUUGGUUGUUUAUUAUCACUUUGAAAAUCCCAAUGUUGAAAUUUGAUGAUGUAAUUGCCUUUUCAAUAUUCAUUGUUUUCCUCAUGAGAUUGACCUUCUUGAAAAAUAGAAUUCACUUCUUAAAGAGAGUGAAAAGAGUUGAAGACGACAACAUCUUCCAUUGGCAUACCUUUCAUAGUCCCCUCAUUAGUAAAGCAAUCAACAACCCCUCUCUUGGUUUUUGCUUUCAGAUCCCGAUUCUGAUCGUCCUCAUCGCCAUUGCCUUUGUCACCGUCGUUUCUUAGCAUUCCUGAGCUGCGCCUUUCCUGCUCUGCUUCUCCCUGUUUUCCAAGUCGCGAAGCUUGAAAAGCUUCAAUCUCGGUUCGGGCAUCAACACCGAAGUUGAUCACCUUCCAGGACUUCUUCUUGUUACUGUAAGCUUCGGUCAUGAUCAAGAUUCCUCUUCGAGGAAACAAGAGAGGCUGAGGAAGAUGGAAGAGAGACAGGUAUACUUGCAACUUGACGAGGCCAAGGAAGCCCUCCUUCACGUAUGCAGCGAUGGUUGCAGGAUGAUUGGACCAUGCGACAAGCUCCUUAGAGCAUCGCAGCCUGCCUGUGGAUUCCUGCUUGUAAAGGACUUAAGACCUUAGUACGUCAUUUUACCAGUUGCAAGGUUCGCGUUCCUGGAGGAUGUGUUCACUGCAAGCGCAUGUAGCAGCUUCUUGAACUGCACUCUCGGAUGUGUACCGAGCCUGAUGAUUGCAAGGUUCCUCUCUGUAGGCAAUUUAUAGUGAAGAUUCGGCAUCAAACCAAGAAAGAUGAUUCCAAGUGGAAAAUGUUUGUCAACAAAGUAAUUGCAGCUAAGAUGCAUUGGACCACUCACUCUCAGCUCGGUGCUCAGGUUUAUUGUGAUAACUUUGUAUCUUUUAAAAAAUAUGCUUUCCCACAAGUUUGAUUCGUCCCAAUUCAAAAUGAAUAAAUAAAUUGCUGGGAACUUAUAGUUCUUUUUUU